UAAAACCAUUUUGUUCAUUGUUUAAAAGCCUAUUUAGGUCAUGAUACAAUGAAACAUCAUAAAAUAAAAAGAAAAAUUAAACGACGGUGACUCUAUUAGAUAUAUGAUUUCUUGUUGCCAGUUGUUGAAAAAUCUAAAAAGUGAUCAAAAUAUAGACACAUCUAGGUGGAAUUGAGAAUGGAAAAUGAUCAAGUUACAAGCAAGGAGAUGAAAGUUGAGAUUCCAUCAAAGAGUGAAGUGAUGGCAAGUAGUGUUGGAGGUUCUAAUGUGGGACAAGGUGGACUUAUGAGACAACCUAGUAUGACCAAAACUAGUUGUCUAUGUUCACCAACAACACAUCCUGGUUCAUUUCGUUGUAGGCUUCAUCGUACUCCUAGUCUCCAAAGGACCAAGAGUAUGGAACCAGGAUCGGUGUCUGAUCAGGAUCAACAUUAGGUCACAGUUCUAUGGUUGAUGCUGACAAGGAUCAGAUGGAAUAAUCUUCUAUUGAAUUUUAUGUUCAAUUUUAUUAAGCUGCUGUUGUUAUUUCUGUUCUGUAUAAUUGUAUAUUGUUCCAAAAUCCAUGUCGAUGAUUCUAAAUCUGAACUGUGAAAUUGGGAAAUGUUUCUUCUUUUUUUUGUAUCUCUCUAUUUAUUAUCUUUUUUCUUUAA